CCUACGGGUGGCAGCAGUGGGGAAUAUUGCACAAUGGGGGAAACCCUGAUGCAGCGACGCCGCGUGAGUGAAGAAGUAGUUCGUUAUGUAAAGCUCUAUCAGUAGGGAAGAAAAUGACGGUACCUGAGUAAGAAGCCCCGGCUAACUACGUGCCAGCAGCCGCGGUAAUACGUAGGGGGCAAGCGUUAUCCGGAUUUACUGGGGGUAAAGGGAGCGUAGACGGUAGUGCAAGUCUGGAGUGAAAGGCCGGGGCUCAACCCCCGGACUGCUCUGGAAACUGGACGGCUGGAGAGCAGGAGAGGUAAGUGGAAUUCGUAGUGUAGCGGUGAAAUGCGUAGAUAUUAGGCGGAACACCAGUGGCGAAGGCGGCUUACUGGA
rnacentral:rRNA from 1 species